GACAUGGUGUCCAUCCGAUCAGAGAACAAAUCUAGUACUGAAAGCAUAAGCUACAGCUAGCUAGCAUUGCAGUGCAUAAAGUGUGUUGAGUAGUUGACUCAAAGAGUUGAUCUGUUUUGAACAAAUUCAUUUCUUCAAAAAAGGAGACGCAGCAGAGCUAUAUUUAGUUUUUUUUUUCUUAGUUUACCUUUCACUUACUUAGCUAAUGUAGCUAAUUUAGCCGACUCAACAACUUAACUCAAACAGAGGAAACAGCUAAGGCUAUCCAACACUGCAACUUUUCCAAGUCAUGACCUAUCUGCUGCCUUUGAUACUGUGAACCAUCAGAUCCUCCUCUCCACCCUCUCCGAGUUGGGCAUCUCCGGCGCGGCCCACGCUUGGAUUGCGUCCUACCUGACAGGUCGCUCCUACCAGGCGGCGAAUCGCAUCUCUGCAUGUCUGUCAGACAUAUCAGUGUGGAUGACGGAUCACCAGCUCAAGCUGAACCUCGGCAAGACGGAGCUGCUCUUCCUCCCGGGGAAGGACUGCCCGUUCCAUGAUCUCGCCAUCACGGUUGACAACUCCCUUGUGUCCUCCUCCCAGAGUGCUAAGAACCUUGGCGUGAUCCUGGACAACACCCUGUCGUUCUCCACUAACAUCAAGGCGGUGACCCGA
rnacentral:lncRNA from 1 species